rnacentral:tRNA from 1 species
UGGGAUGUAGCUCAGUGGUAGAGCACUUUGUCUAUCAUGUGCAUGGUGGCCCUGGGUUCAAUUCCUAGCACUGCAA